GGCUUACCGCUAAUAACGGUGAGUACUUGACGUUACCUACAGAAGAAGCACCGGCUAAUUUCGUGCCAGCAGCCGCGGUAAUACGAAAGGUGCGAGCGUUAAUCGGAAUUACUGGGCGUAAAGCGCGCGUAGGCGGUUUGUUAAGUCAGAUGUGAAAGCCCCGGGCUCAACCUGGGAAUUGCAUUUGAAACUGGCAGGCUAGAGUGCAGUAGAGGGAGGUGGAAUUUCCGGUGUAGCGGUGAAAUGCGUAGAGAUCGGAAGGAACAUUUUGUGAGGAAGGCGGCCUCCUGGACUGACACUGACGCUGAGGUGCGAAAGCGUUGGGAGCAAACAGGAUUAGAUACCCUGGUAGUCCACGCCGUAAACGAUGUCUACUAGUCGUUGGGAAUCUUAGUAUUCUUGGUGACGAAGUUAACGCGAUAAGUAGACCGCCUGGG
rnacentral:rRNA from 1 species